CCUACGGGAGGCAGCAGUGAGGAAUAUUGGACAAUGGGCGCGAGCCUGAACCAGCCAAGUAGCGUGAAGGAUGACUGCCCUACGGGUUGUAAACUUCGUUUAUAAAGGAAUAAAGUGAGGCAAGUGUGCCUUUUUGUAUGGACUUUAUGAAUAAGGAUCGGCUAACUCCGUGCCAGCAGCCGCGGUAAUACGGAGGAUCCGAGCGUUAUCCGGAUUUAUUGGGUUUAAAGGGAGCGUAGAUGGGUUGUUAAGUCAGUUGUGAAAGUGUGCGGCUCAACCGUAAAAGUGCAAUUGAUACUGGGAGUCUUGAGUGCAGUUGAGGUAGGUGGAAUUCGUGGUGUAGCGGUGAAAUGCUUAGAUAUCACGAAGAACUCCGAUUGCGAAGGCAGCUUACUAAUCUGCCACUGACAUUGAUGUUCGAAAGUGUGGGUAUCAAACAGGAUUAGAUACCCGUGUAGUC
rnacentral:rRNA from 1 species